CCUACGGGGGGCAGCAGUGGGGAAUAUUGCACAAUGGGGGAAACCCUGAUGCAGCGACGCCGCGUGAGUGAAGAAGUAAUUCGUUACGUAAAGCUCUAUCAGCAGGGAAGAAAUACUGACCUUACGGUCAGCAGACGGUACCUGAGUAAGAAGCCCCGGCUAACUACGUGCCAGCAGCCGCGGUAAUACGUAGGGGGCAAGCGUUAUCCGGAUUUACUGGGUGUAAAGGGAGCGUAGACGGUGUGCCAAGUCUGGGGUGAAAUGCCGCGGCUUAACUGCGGAACUGCUUUGGAAACUGGCGAACUAGAGUGCGGGAGGGGUAAGCGGAAUUCCUAGUGUAGCGGUGAAAUGCGUAGAUAUUAGGAGGAACACCGGUGGCGAAGGCGGCUUACUGGACCGUAACUGACGUUGAGGCUCGAAAGCGUGGGGAGCAAACAGGAUUAGAUACCCUAGUAGUC
rnacentral:rRNA from 1 species